GGUUGUGGCUCAGUGGCAGAGCAGUUGCCUCGCACGUGUGAGGCACUGGGUUCGAUCCUCAGCACCA
rnacentral:tRNA from 1 species